GAUGCAUCUGUUUGAUUU
rnacentral:sRNA from 1 species